CCUACGGGAGGCAGCAGUGAGGAAUAUUGGACAAUGGCCGAAAGGCUGAACCAGCCACGCCGCGUGAGGGAAGAAUGUCCUAUGGAUUGUAAACCCCUUUUGACAGGGAGCAAAGUCACCCACGUGUGGGAGUUGAAGAGUACGUGAAGAAAAAGCAUAGGCUAACUCCGUGCCAGCAGCCGCGGUAAUACGGAGGAUGCGAGCGUUAUCCGGAUUUAUUGGGUUUAAAGGGUGCGUAGGCGGGUUAUCAAGUCAGCGGUAAAAUCGUGUAGCUCAACUCCAUCCAGCCGUUGAAACUGAUGAUCUUGAGUGGGCGAGAAGUAUGCGGAAUUCGUGGUGUAGCGGUGAAAUGCAUAGAUAUCACGCAGAACUCCGAUUGCGAAGGCAGCAUACCGGAGCCCGACUGACGCUGAAGCACGAAAGCGUGGGUAGCGAACAGGAUUAGAUACCCUUGUAGUC
rnacentral:rRNA from 1 species